GCACUACUUUUCAAACUUGUGCACUAUAUAGGGAAUACUGGAAUAGGGUGCCAUUUGGGACGCGGUUACAGUGUAAUGGUAGUGUUGUUUUCCAUGGGUCUUUCCAGUCGACAUGUGCCUCGGCAGCAGCAGGUAAGCUGCUGAAGUCAGUGUGUUAUAUCAGUAACGUAGUGGUUCAGGAGGGUUAAUCCUCCUGUAUCCUCAGACCUCACGCCCACUGCUCUUAAUUGCCAACAGGUUGGGAGAGUCAGCAGCAACACACACCACAUCAGUAACCCACGCCUGAGAGAGGAAGGACGCACUACAGAGAAGAGAGGGACUGCUCACAGAAACAAGUACAGUGACCAGAAGAGCAGCAGGAGGAUGUCCUGUCUGGACGAUAUUCCCUUUAAGACCCUUCUGGGAUCUCUGGAGGGGCCCAGGGAAGAGGUGGAGCUGAUCACGGCCCCAGACAUCACUGUCCCAGACUACCUCACCAUACUGCAGGAGACAGAGUACAUGUUCAGCUUGGAGAACUGGGUGCUCCAGGGCCUCCAGGGAGGUUACCCCAGCCAGCCCCAACCCCC